ACAUCUGGUAUAGCGACUUUUACCAUUUGAUAUUUAAAAGAUAACUGCCAACCACAGUUCAAUAUGUGGUAACUCUACAGAUACAGGUGUCCAGCCACGGAAAGAGAUGCAGGAUGCCAGCUACAUGGGAGCUCUACUUGUCAAGGCUUGAAGUGGGAUGAGGACUUAUGGCGCAUUAUUUUUGCAAGGAAGAGACAGUCUACCUUACAAGCCAAAACAGACAAUCCAGUAACCAGUCUACCAUACUGUAUAGGAAUAGCCCUUUCUACUGGAUCGAGGGGCAGGGUAGUUGAAUAAGCGACGAGUUGAAAUACAUGCUUUUAGUGCUGCAGAAAUGUCGCCAUUGCUAUCGUCCGUUGUUAGGUACCAAAUUGGAAAUAUUCAGUGGUCCGCAAGGCUCAAAUACGGACAAUGCUCUGUUUAGGGUUGCAGAGAAGGGCAAGAGGAGUGGAUGACCGUGUUGAAUUUAUCUUCAAAUAUCUUCUGUGGAGCAAGGUCACUAAAUUGCUGAGUUGGAAUUUUUCUCCAGUGACAUGGACACAGAACAACGCUUUGGGUGGAUGCUGCAAAGAUUUUUUACAUCCUUGUAGCAGCGUUUCCUUUGUGCUUUCAUACUAGUGAAGUUUCUAUUUGGUUUAUUUUUCCCCACAUAAAUUAUGUAAUAAUUUUUGCUAUUGGGACAGUUAAUCCUAUUCUCAACGGAUUAAAAUUUGCCA